rnacentral:rRNA from 1 species
AGUUUGAUCAUGGCUCAGGACGAACGCNGGNGNCNCGCUUANCACAUGCAANUCGAGCGAGAACCGGGGCUUCGNCCCCGGGGACAGCNGCGAACGGGUGAGUAACACGUGGGUAACCUGCCCUCGGCACCGGGAUAGCCCGGGGAAACUCGGAUUAAUACCGGAUUGCCCCUCCGGCCUUCGGGCCGGCCGGGAAAGGUAGCUUCGGCCUCCGGCCGAGGAUGGGCCCGCGGCGGAUUAGCUUGUUGGCGGGGUAACGGCCCACCAAGGCGACGAUCCGUAGCUGGUCUGAGAGGACGAUCAGCCACACUGGGACUGAGACACGGCCCAGACUCCUACGGGAGGCAGCAGUGGGGAAUCUUGCGCAAUGGGCGAAAGCCUGACGCAGCGACGCCGCGUGAGGGAAGAAGGCCUUCGGGUUGUAAACCUCUUUCAGGAGGGACGAAGCCACUCGGGUGAACAGCCCAGAGGGUGACGGUACCUCCAGAAGAAGCCCCGGCUAACUACGUGCCAGCAGCCGCGGUAAUACGUAGGGGGCAAGCGUUGUCCGGAUUUACUGGGCGUAAAGCGCGUGUAGGCGGCCAGGCAGGUCCGUUGUGAAAACUGGAAGCUCAACUUCCAGACGUCGACGGAAACCGCCCGGCUAGAGUCCGGAAGAGGAGAGUGGAAUUCCUGGUGUAGCGGUGAAAUGCGCAGAUAUCAGGAAGAACACCGAUGGCGAAGGCAGCUCUCUGGGACGGUACUGACGCUGAGACGCGAAAGCGUGGGGAGCGAACAGGAUUAGAUACCCUGGUAGUCCACGCCGUAAACGAUGGGUGCUAGGUGUGGGAGGUGUCGACUCCUUCCGUGCCGCAGCUAACGCAUUAAGCACCCCGCCUGGGGAGUACGGCCGCAAGGCUAAAACUCAAAGGAAUUGACGG